rnacentral:rRNA from 1 species
GAUGAACGCUAGCGAUAGGCCUAACACAUGCAAGUCGAGGGGCAUCACAUGAAGUAGCAAUACGGAUGGUGGCGACCGGCGCACGGGUGAGUAACACGUAUGCAACCUGCCUUCAACAAGGGGAUAACCCGUUGAAAGACGGACUAAUACCCUAUAACACAGGGGUCCCGCAUGGGGAUAUUUGUUAAAGGACAACCGGUUGAAGAUGGGCAUGCGUUCCAUUAGCUAGUUGGCGGGUAAGGCCCACCAAGGCAACGAUGGAUAGGGGAACUGAGAGGUUUAUCCCCCACACUGGUACUGAGACACGGACCAGACUCCUACGGGAGGCAGCAGUGAGGAAUAUUGGUCAAUGGACGCAAGUCUGAACCAGCCACGUCGCGUGAAGGAAGACGGCCCUACGGGUUGUAAACUUCUUUUGCAAGGGAAUAAAGUGGGCCACGUGUGGCCUUUUGCAAGUACCUUGCGAAUAAGGAUCGGCUAACUCCGUG